GAUUUGGCAACAUCUCUUACCCAUGUCUUUUGAGUACUUACGUUUCCUCGGUGGGUUCGCCCGCCGAUUGGACAAUUUAAACCAUUUGCAGUUGCAAUCAGCGUCUGAAAAACAUAAUAGUUACAACUUUCAACAACGGAUCUCUUGGUUCUGGCAUCGAUGAAGAACGCAGCGAAAUGCGAUAAGUAGUGUGAAUUGCAGAAUUCAGUGAAUCAUCGAAUCUUUGAACGCACAUUGCGCCCCUUGGUAUUCCAUGGGGCAUGCCUGUUCGAGCGUCAUUUGUACCUUCAAGCUUUGCUUGGUGUUGGGUGUUUGUCUCGCCUUUGCGUGUAGACUCGCCUUAAAAGAAUUGGCAGCCGGCGUAUUGAUUUCGGAGCGCAGUACAUCUCGCGCUUUGCACUCAUAACGACGACGUCCAAAAGUACAUUUUAACACUCUUGACCUCGGAUCAGGUAGGGAUACCCGCUGAACUUAAGCAUAUCAAUAAGCGGAGGAA
rnacentral:rRNA from 1 species